UUUAAGGUCCCUUCCAACCAUUCUGUCAUUCUAUGAAAGAAAACACCAGAAGUCUCUUUAACCUUAUUGCUUCUUAAUACACUCAGAAAAAUUUUGCCCCGUAGUUCCUUUACAUGCAUCGACUUCAAAAUAGCAACUUCUUCUUACAUUCAUGGGUUUGACCAAUUAAAGAUCCUUUGAAUGCAUAACUCAAUACUUAUGAACUUCAAAUGUCUUAUUUUUUGCUGCUAGACCACUGGCAAUAUUUUUUUUUCUUCAUCUGCUGACAAAAUACCAAUACAUUAUGCCAGUUUUUACGGGUGUCUUGUAAAUUUUUCUUUGCUUAAUUAGUGCAUAUUUUUUCCAUAUAAAAUGACUCCAUUAAAUGCCUCUUGCCUGCAAGCAGUUAGUCUGCCAGCUUUAUCCACCUCUUGUAAUCUACCUGUUCUAUAAAUUACCAGAAUCACCGGGACAGUAACAUUCUUCUUUCUUUACAUUUCUGUGUAACGUUUACCAGAAGGGAGGCAGAAGGAGUUUAAGUUUGGGGAUUUAUAGCAGUCAUUGCUUCAUAAGUAAUGAAUCAUAAUAAUAUACAAACACUGAUUUUUAAUUUUUUUUUAGUCCAAAAAUCUCCUUUACUCCAGGGAAAUGCAGAGCACGGUCCCAUAGGGAAAUUUUCUACUGAUCAGCAAGGGGAAAACUUACAGCAGACUAUGCUGAACAUACAGAACGUGGGAACCAGCACAGUCUGCUCAAGACAGUUGAUGAAGCAGUGUUACAGAAGUGGUAUGUAGAAGUCCUAUGUGGUAUGUGCAGUUCUAACCUCAGACCCGGUCAGUUGAAGCUUUCUGGGGCGUGCUAGUGCUAUCCAUUUCAAGCUACUGUAAUUUCCAACCACAACACACCUACAGGUAAGUCAAGGAAGACGACAUUUGCAAAAAAGCUUCAGCAGGUGUGAGUUGGCAUGGCUGAGGAGAGUAGGCUGAUUUUCACCAGGCAAUACCCUAAGAAUCCUGUAGUCCAUGACCUCACCCCAACAUUACUCUUUGAAAAGCAUAAAACAUAAGAAAUUUGGUUUAUAUUUACACAGAAAGCAAAUGUGUGACUAUGUUCUCAUUGUUCCAUAGGACAAAAGACUUGGAUGCAGACUGCAGGGACUGCAAUUUCAGUUCCCUUGAACUCCAAUUCAUGGGGCUGAGGGUCAAGGGACACCAGAGUCUUCAGCUCUUCUUCAGGAGACAAAAGACCCCCAAGGAAAAGCAGCCUGUGUGCAACCCUUCUGCUACGCUCCCAGUCCACCCUGUACAUCAGCGGGCCACCGGCACACACGAGCGACCGGGGCGAGUGCUCGACAUGACUAAUGGCAGGAGAAACCACACGUGCCCAACUGGAACAAAACCCUGAGGUCCCCGACAGAGUCAACUCGCUCAUGCGGUGGCUGCAAUAUCUGAUUGAUUCCCCUGCCUGACCCAAGUCACGGGGAGGCAGCCCGAGGGUUAUCUCGGCUCAGCGAUGUGACCCGCUCUGGAGGGAUGUGACCAGGGUGACCUGGCUGAGAAUCUGCUUGCACGAAUAAUCCAACCCUACCAGCGUUGCUGAGCAGGUCACUGACAUCAUCUGAGAGACAGUAAGAAA